GCUCCUCUGCAAUCUGCGAAGGAAGCAGUGCCCAAGUUCCUGGGACGAUGUACAGGCAGAGUGCCGUGAGGUCUUGGAGGAGCUCUCAAUUGAGCCCGAUGUGUGUGCUUUGAUCGAGAAGCAGACGAAGGCCCAGUCUGCGUCCGAGAAGUGGCAUCAGUUUUGGACUGGCCGCAUCACAGCUUCAAAUGCAGGAGCGGUGUUUGCUACAUCAUUGACUGAGCCAUCAAGGAGCCUGCUGAAAAGACUCUGCUACCCGGAGGACUGCAAAUUCCAGACCGCAGCAACUGCAUGGGGAAAGAAGAAAGAAGCUGCUGCGAGGGCAGCUUACGUCGAGGCAAUGCAGAAGCACCAUCUCGGCUUUUAAGUGCCAAGUGUCUGGCCUCCACAUAAGCAUAGAACGCCCAUUUUUGGCUGCAACUCCUGACGGCCUCGUACAUUGCGAUUGUUGUGGAGAUGGCCUUGUGGAGAUAAAAUGUCCAUACUCUGCAAAAGAUGCACUUGUUCAUGAAAUUCCAGAGCGGCAACGAUCAUACCUUGUAGUUGAUGGUAAUGAUGCAAAGCUGCUCAGAAACCAUCAUUACUUCAAGCAAGUAAUGAUGCAGAUGUUUGUCUGCAAAAGAAGCUACUGCGAUUUUGUAGUAUGGACACAAAAAGAUGUUUUUAUUGAAAGAGUAAUGCUUGAUCAGGAGUUAUGCAACAAAAUCGUGGAUAAAUGUGCAUUGUACUUUGAGCGAGUUCUCCUGCCUGAACAUUGUUUCCGUUAUUGGACUACUGCUGCUGAAGAAGCAGUAGUGGAGCAAAGUGCAGGCAGUCAGGACGAUAAAUAUUGCUACUGUCAACAGCCAGAGUAUGGUGACAUGAUUAGGUGUGAUGGGAAGCAUUGCACUCGACAGUGGUUUCAUUUCCAGUGUGUUAAUUUGAAGAGGGCACCAAAAUCGCGGAAAUGGUAUUGUACAUUUAUUACAUGCUUUGCACUAAGGACACAUGUCAGUCAAAUGGUACGACAGUCGCACAGGUUGGUAAGCGCAGCACACACAAAUACAACCUUAUCAAGUGCGCUGACUUUUCUGCCGUCAAACACCUUCGCUUCCAAAAAUUCAGUGGGAAGAGUGCUUUUGAGAAUGGAGUACUUAUUCCUGACUAACCCAAUAACUCUUUCUACAUGAAUUCUAACAUUUGCUAGCCUACGUGUGGCCUGAACAGAGUAUGCAGUAAGUUGUGGCUUCCCUCUGGUGAAGGCUGGGAUUUCCAGCUUCGCUCCACACAUGCCCACGGCAUCAGAGAUCAAGAAACCUCUGUCUGCCAGCACAGAGUCGCCAGGUAGCAGGUUGUCAAGAAUGCCGCACAAUUCUGUCAGCAUUUUGUCACUUGUGCGUCCGCCCCACCCUCUUGAUAUGUAUGUAAUUACACCUUGCGGGGCGAUGCCAAUUAAGUACUUCACGGUGUUCCCAUGCUUGUACGUGGACCAUGUUAAUGAUCUAGGUUCCAUGGAUGAAGGUCUGUCCACAAAUAUUUCAAAACAAUCAAGAAUGACUGCUACUUUCUUGCCAAAUGUUUCUUGAAAUACCAUUGGCAUUGUUCUUUGCAGAUCUUCACGUUCUGGCCAUUUGAUCAGACUGUUGAGCCUAAUGUAAGCAGCAUCAAGCCACCUUUCUACUGUCCUCGUUACUGUAGACUGGUGAAUGCCAAACCUGUAAGAUAAAACUGCCAAGUUGUUAUAUGCUUCAGUAAGUUUUAUCUAAGCUAAUGCAAUAAAGUUCACCAGCACAACAUAGUUAUUGCAUACUCAACUGUACACUUCUGCCUGGCGCACCAAGCUUAAUACAAAUGAAUAUAGGUAUGGCUGUUGCCCCAAAUCAAAUACCUGUAUGCAAGAUCUUGCAACGGGAGGUUAAGCCGCAACCUCAUUAGGAAAACGACCAUUUCCUGGAAUUUGUUCAGGCGGUUUCGUAAUGUAUGCCUUACAUGAGGCUCAACUAGGCUGUAAACAGCCUCUAAAACUGCAUAAUUUGGCAGCCCUGUGUAAAACAGAACCAUGUCUGGGUUGCUGCGGAACACAUUCCUGUCUCCAGGGACGGCCUUUGCCAGGCGGCUGUGUGCACUAGCCAGGUCAUGCUGAAGGCGGCGGUUUUCUUCCUCCAGAGAAGAGAUAUGGGCUGACAGCAGAUCAGCUGUCACCUCUUUGUCUGUCAUGCCUGCACAAUAAAUUGAAUGUGUGAUGGCUGCAUGAAAGGGAAAGCACUGGUGUCAACACUGAAUGUAUAAUGCUGUUGCUUAUUUCAGCACCUUUACAUGAUGAUUUUAUG